AAACGUAUACUACUUAAAAGACUUUCAGCGAUAAACAAAGGAGGACCCUCCUUCAUUUUUCACAACCUGCAGAAGACCUCAUCAUCUUCAACCUAAGCCAUCAGACCUAGCUAGAAAAAAUUUCUAUUUCUCAAAACAAAAAGAGAACGGCUGGACUAACACACAAAAAAGAGGACUCGGAUCUAGGAGAAACUAGAAGAGAAAGAGGGUAAGUGUCAUCUUCUUCUUUCAUAAAAACAGCCGCACCUCAUCCAGUUUCCUCCCUAGGAUAGCCAUAUUUCACUAAGUAAACUCAUCUUUUCUCCUCCAUAAAGACCCAUAUCUUUCACAAAUGGAAGUAGCUCAUAAAAAUUUCAUGAAAAUGCUUUCAUGGAUGCCAUAGCUCAUCCUUUUAAGCUCCAUACUAACGAAACAGUCUAGCUUCAAACUUCACCUCAAAAUAGUCUUUCUUCCUCAAAAAAUGGCUAUAAAAAAACAACAAAAAAUAGCCAUGAAAGCUGGCCGCUAAAGCUUCCCGAAACAGCCCAAAAAUACAACAAACAAGUUGUGAAAUAAGACCAAAACACUGCUCCAAAUAGUAGCAAAACCAGCUGGAAACGCCAGCUCAAUUGAAGCUCCAAACAGCUCCCCAUUUCGUGCAUAUUAGCGUCGAGGUCGAGUUCUCCGUCGCUAGUUUCCGGUCAUGGUCGCUGACUCGUUGACUCGCUGGUGUUUGGUCCUGUUGUUGAAUUGUAAGCCUUUAAAAUUCUGAUUUUGGCCAAUAAAGGUCUUUUACUUUUAUAUAUGUAUCAUGCUUUCCUGAUUUGAUACAAGAAUUUGGUUAAAUUAGUAUUUUAUUGUUAUAAAAUAUUCUAUUUUAGGUAAAUGUCCAUAUCUAGAGAGAUUCUAGGGUUUACUUAUUGGUUGCUAAGUCACCACCUCCUUAUAAAUAAAGGGGUUCUAUUCCAUUGUAAACCAUCCCAAAGUAU
rnacentral:lncRNA from 1 species